AUCUGUUCUUAUCAGUUUAAUAUCUGAUAUGUCCCCCAUACAAAGAUAACAUAUUAAAGUGAUUUUUUGAACUGGGAGCCAAAAAAGGGGCUUACUCCGUUCGCUCCACGCAUCGACCCAGCAUUGCAGUGCCGUCAGCUACAGUGC
rnacentral:snRNA from 1 species